AGAGGUUAAGUUAUAUAUUUUAUGGUAAAAAGGCAGUUAAAUAUUUAAACUUUAAAUAGUUUAUUGAUUUAUUAUAUAAGGGUAAAAUCUAAAUAUAAAUGAAUAAUUUGAUAUAAACUAAUUUUUAUACGUUGACUCUGCGAAAUCCUUGAGUGAAACUGGGAUUAGAUACCCCAUUAUUCCUGGAUGUAAAUUAACGCGAGUUUACCAGAGUACUAUGAAUUCUUAAAUAAAAUUUAAAACUCAAAGAGCUUGGCGGUGUUUUAGACCUCUCAGGGGAACCUGUCUCAUAAUCGACAAUCCACGUUAAACCUAACCUUUAUUUGCCAUUUCAGUUUGUAUACCGUCGUCGUCAGGUAACUUUUAAAAAAUAAGAAGUUAGCAUUAAAAUAAUUAUAAAUUUAAACGUCAGAUCAAGGUGCAGUCUAUAUAAAGGUGAGGAUGGGUUACAAUUAUAAAUUAUAAUUUACGGAUAAGUAAUUGAAAUAUAUACCUUAAGAAGGAGGACUUGAAAGUAAAAUAAUAUAUACAAACAAUUUGAAUAAGGCUCUGAAACAUGC
rnacentral:rRNA from 1 species